GACGAACGCUGGCGGCGUGCUUAACACAUGCAAGUCGAACGGAAAGGCCCUGCUUUUGUGGGGUGCUCGAGUGGCGAACGGGUGAGUAACACGUGAGUAACCUGCCCUUGACUUUGGGAUAACUUCAGGAAACUGGGGCUAAUACCGGAUAGGAGCUCCUGCUGCAUGGUGGGGGUUGGAAAGUUUCGGCGGUUGGGGAUGGACUCGCGGCUUAUCAGCUUGUUGGUGGGGUAGUGGCUUACCAAGGCUUUGACGGGUAGCCGGCCUGAGAGGGUGACCGGCCACAUUGGGACUGAGAUACGGCCCAGACUCCUACGGGAGGCAGCAGUGGGGAAUAUUGCACAAUGGGCGGAAGCCUGAUGCAGCAACGCCGCGUGCGGGAUGACGGCCUUCGGGUUGUAAACCGCUUUCGCCUGUGACGAAGCGUGAGUGACGGUAAUGGGUAAAGAAGCACCGGCUAACUACGUGCCAGCAGCCGCGGUGAUACGUAGGGUGCGAGCGUUGUCCGGAUUUAUUGGGCGUAAAGGGCUCGUAGGUGGUUGAUCGCGUCGGAAGUGUAAUCUUGGGGCUUAACCCUGAGCGUGCUUUCGAUACGGGUUGACUUGAGGAAGGUAGGGGAGAAUGGAAUUCCUGGUGGAGCGGUGGAAUGCGCAGAUAUCAGGAGGAACACCAGUGGCGAAGGCGGUUCUCUGGGCCUUUCCUGACGCUGAGGAGCGAAAGCGUGGGGAGCGAACAGGCUUAGAUACCCUGGUAGUCCACGCUGUAAACGGUGGGUACUAGGUGUGGGGUCCAUUCCACGGGUUCCGUGCCGUAGCUAACGCUUUAAGUACCCCGCCUGGGGAGUACGGCCGCAAGGCUAAAACUCAAAGGAAUUGACGGGGCCCCGCACAAGCGGCGGAGCAUGCGGAUUAAUUCGAUGCAACGCGUAGAACCUUACCUGGGUUUGACAUGGAUCGGGAGUGCUCAGAGAUGGGUGUGCCUCUUUUGGGGUCGGUUCACAGGUGGUGCAUGGCUGUCGUCAGCUCGUGUCGUGAGAUGUUGGGUUAAGUCCCGCAACGAGCGCAACCCUUGUUCACUGUUGCCAGCACGUUAUGGUGGGGACUCAGUGGAGACCGCCGGGGUCAACUCGGAGGAAGGUGGGGAUGACGUCAAGUCAUCAUGCCCCUUAUGUCCAGGGCUUCACGCAUGCUACAAUGGCUGGUACAGAGAGUGGCGAGCCUGUGAGGGUGAGCGAAUCUCGGAAAGCCGGUCUCAGUUCGGAUUGGGGUCUGCAACUCGACCUCAUGAAGUCGGAGUCGCUAGUAAUCGCAGAUCAGCAACGCUGCGGUGAAUACGUUCCCGGGGCUUGUACACACCGCCCGUCAAGUCAUGAAAGUUGGUAACACCCGAAGCCGGUGGCCUAACCGUUGUGGGGGAGCCGUCGAAGGUGGGACU
rnacentral:rRNA from 1 species